AGUGAACGCUGGCGGUAGGCCUAACACAUGCAAGUCGAACGGCAGCACAGUAAGAGCUUGCUCUUACGGGUGGCGAGUGGCGGACGGGUGAGGAAUACAUCGGAAUCUACUUUUUCGUGGGGGAUAACGUAGGGAAACUUACGCUAAUACCGCAUACGACCUACGGGUGAAAGCAGGGGAUCUUCGGACCUUGCGCGAUUGAAUGAGCCGAUGUCGGAUUAGUUAGUUGGCGGGGUAAAGGCCCACCAAGGCGACGAUCCGUAGCUGGUCUGAGAGGAUGAUCAGCCACACUGGAACUGAGACACGGUCCAGACUACUACGGGAGGCAGCAGUGGGGAAUAUUAGACAAUGGGCGCAAGCCUGAUCCAGCCAUACCACGUGGGUGAAGAAGGCCUUCGGGUUGUAAAGCCCUUUUGUUGGGAAAGAAAAGCAGCAGGUUAAUACCCCGCUGUUCUGACGGUACCCAAAGAAUAAGCACCGGCUAACUUCGUG
rnacentral:rRNA from 1 species